GCCCGCGCGACUCCUCCCCGGAGAGGAGUGGGUUGCGGGAGGUUUAUCGGAUCCCAAUUCCCGGCGGCUUCCCUGGUGUUCACCCCUGCAGCCCGGUACAGCGCUGCAGCUUCCAAAAGGUCGGCAUUACCCCCUGAGGCGUGCAGCUCCUCCCUCCAAACUGAUACGGUUCGCUGUUGUCCCUGCACGUCCUAACUUGUGUUUGCCUGAAUGCGUUUAUAUGUCUCCUGCUUUCGAUAUUUGUAGAACUCUGAAGAACUAAAUCAUCAAAUCAACCUUGAAUUAUAUACAAACAUGAAGGAUGUCAGUAAUAUCUGGAUGAAUUUGAUCAAAGCGAUUAUUGCAGGACAGAGACCGAAUUCAAAAGUUGUCAAAUUAUACCUUUUUGGAGCAGUUUUGACACUUUUCACCGCUUUCCUGGCAGUAACAAAGAUGGUACAUUCGAUAUUGCUUCCUGCAGAUAAGGAUGAUGCCUUGAAAACAACGAAUGCUAUGUUUGCCAGACCAUCAAGAACUACACAAAGUUGUCUUCUAAUUCAAAGGAACAACAGAGGCAGAUUUCAUGCCUCCUAAUUGGACUGAAAUUUAGUUACAAAUCAAGUAUGAAUAAUUAUUGUAUCUGUAUUUCUCUGCUUUAAAAAAAAGCACAGUUUAAUGCUUGGAAUUUUAAAAAUGCUAUAAAUUUCUUGUCUAGAGAAACCAACAAGGUUUGGCAACCAGUUCGACCAGACUUGUUAAUUGUUGUAGAAGAUCUACCUUUGAGCCACUGGUUAGUUAAAGUACAGGUGGGUGGAGGGGGAAUGGGGUGGGGCACAGUGCUUUGUAAUAAUUUACAACGAACUAGUGAUUAAACUUGAUGUGAUUUUGUUACAGUACUUUCUGGCUGGUUAAGCAGUUUCUGAAACUUAGUUCAUAAAAUUGCUGUUAAGUUUGCAGAUAGUAAUGAAAGCUGUAAACUUCCUUAAAUAUGCAUAAUUUUGUGGUAUAUGUACACAGUUUCAGCAUUGAUGCUGAUCAAAGGUAUCUUGCUACGGAUACAAAGCACAAGAACCCUGCAGUGUAGAUCCAACAAUAAAUACAAUUGAAUUGCAA